rnacentral:rRNA from 1 species
AUAGUUUGAUCCGUGGGUCAGAACGAACGCUGGCGGCAGGCCUAAUACAUGCAAGUCGAGCGCAUCCUUCGGGAUGAGCGGCGGACGGGUGAGUAACGCGUGGGAAUAUGCCCUUCUCUAAGGAAUAGCCUCGGGAAACUGAGAGUAAUACCUUAUACGCCCUUCGGGGGAAAGAUUUAUCGGAGAAGGAUUAGCCCGCGUUAGAUUAGGUAGUUGGUGGGGUAAUGGCCUACCAAGCCUACGAUCUAUAGCUGGUUUGAGAGGAUGAUCAGCCACACUGGGACUGAGACACGGCCCAGACUCCUACGGGAGGCAGCAGUAGGGAAUCUUAGACAAUGGGGGAAACCCUGAUCUAGCCAUGCCGCGUGUGUGAUGAAGGCCUUAGGGUCGUAAAGCACUUUCGCCAGAGAUGAUAAUGACAGUAUCUGGUAAAGAAACCCCGGCUAACUCCGUGCCAGCAGCCGCGGUAAUACGGAGGGGGUUAGCGUUGUUCGGAAUUACUGGGCGUAAAGCGCACGUAGGCGGAUUAGUAAGUUAGAGGUGAAAUCCCAGGGCUCAACCCUGGAACUGCCUUUAAUACUGCUAGUCUUGAGUUCGAGAGAGGUAAGUGGAAUUCCGAGUGUAGAGGUGAAAUUCGUAGAUAUUCGGAGGAACACCAGUGGCGAAGGCGGCUUACUGGCUCGAUACUGACGCUGAGGUGCGAAAGUGUGGGGAG